GCACUGCUGACGAGUUUCAAACAGGACAAAACAGCUGUCCGGUGC
rnacentral:hammerhead_ribozyme from 1 species